CUGGCUGUGUUGAGGGGAGGGUGGCCGCCUCGCCGUCCCGGACCGUAAACUCGUACUUCUCAGUGAAAUUCGAGUUAUUCACGGAUUUAAAAGAUAAACUAAAAUCCAGAUGAAUUAUACACCUAACGUCUCGUGACUGCAGAAAAGCUCAGGGACAUCACGAAGGUUUAUUAGUGAGAAAUUAAACAGAAUUAAGUCUUAGAGUUUGGUGGUACCAGAGAUUGAGGUGAAUACUCGCUAGUUUUUGUUCUCGAAGUGGAAGGCGGCCUCAUCCACACCUGCCAAUUAUACAGAUAACAGACUACAGGUGUCAGUUGGGGCAGGAUACAGUGCACCAGACACACAGAUAAAGAACCCACGAGCGCUGGAGGAGUGGCAGACAGCACUAUAGACAGAUUUCUUCCAAGUUUACUGGCAGUGAGAAGGUCCUGCUACUUGUUGAGGUUGGGAGCAGCAAGGAGCUAUGUGACGAUGGCCAGACUGAGCCAUGGCCCUUACAAGCCUCUUCCUUCUUUCUUCUUCUGGUUCUGUGAGUAAGAAGAUAACGAGCAGUAAACCUUCUACGCCUCUAAUAACUCAUCGGACGUCAUCACUUCUAGAGAACUUCUUAACCAAUCACCAAACACGGACUCUCAACUCCUUGGCCAGUGGGCAGAUACAAUUGGACGUGACGUCAUCACCGCUUGAUAUCAUCCUAGCCAAUCAGCGGUCAAACCCUUAACGUCUCGCCCAAUCAGUAGCUGCAGGAUGGGUAAUCAAAACAGUAGUAGGGCGGGUCUGUCCCAGCCGCCCCUGACCUGGACUCAGAGUUUCCCCAGAGAAAACAAACGUCUCAAGAGAUAUGGAGCCACUUCUGAUACUAAGGUGUUGCCCCAGAGGAUCCCCGGUCAGCGUCUGCGGCCCACAGAGAACGGUCACAUCCUACAGACGAAGGGCACCCUCUCAGCCAGACGAAUGGCAGAAUUCCACGCCCCACAUCAUCCAGCCUUCCCGCCGCCCAUCGUCCUCAACCAGCAGCAUCACGCCCUGCACCAGCCACACUCAGCCUCAAUGACCGCCCUCCACUACCCACACUUCCACGACGAGCGCGCAGCCUCCAUUCAUGACCUCAGGUUUGGUCGUCCACCGUCAAAGAAUUAUGCCAGUGAACCAGACUUAAGAGGACCGUCCCCUCCUACGGCUGUUCCUAGUCCACCGCCUCACACAAUCAUCAGUCAGUCGCCGACGAAGGGCAGAAUCAAGUCAAAGAAGAAAUACAAGGCGCCUCCAGUCCCUCCGGCAGGGAUGAUAGACUCCCAUUCACUGCCUCGCGGUGCCGAGAGGUCUCACUCUCUGAGCGAUAUGACACCUCAGGCGUCCCACAGCCAGUGGCCCACCCCCUGUGUCGUUCACUUUGCUGAUCAACCUCAGAGACACAUGGUGAGCAGCCCUAAGCCUCAAAAACCCAAAUCACGUAAAAUUGGUCUCUUCCGUAAAAAGAAUGAGUCUCGACGUCCCAAAGGAGGAGAAGAACAUCGCAGCUCAGGGGAAGAGCAAGAGAGAGGCCGGGCAGCCAGUGAGGACAGACGUGCAGUCGUCACGCCAACUCGCAGCUCACCCCGAGAUGAGCUUCGCGAGCGUGCUAGGAGUCUGGACUGCCUGCAACAUGAGCUUCGCCACUCCCCCGUGUCUUCUUCAGUGCCAGUUGCAGCUUCAAGCCUGACUCACCUCCACCAGCCUCAAGAACAACGCCUCUGGGCAACUCUCGACAGAGACUCCAAACGCUCAAGUACACACGAGGUUGACUCGAAGCGAAGCAGCACGAUAGAACGUGAGUCUCGGAGGUCAGGUAAAGACUCAAAGAGAAUCAGUACACUUGAAAGGGAUCAGCAGAAGAGUCACCGCAGGAUGAGCACACUGGAGAGGAAGGUGGAGGAGAGGAAGAGCUGGACAGGAGACGGGCGUGACAACUCCACCCCCUCCUCUACCAGUCGCGUCUCCCGCCUCGACUCUUACCGGGAAAACACUUCACACCGCCGCUCGUCCUCAAGCGGGUCUCAUCACGAACUAAUUGCAGAGGAAGUAGAGAGACGGGAUAUUGAUGACGAGUGGGAUCAAGCCGCAGCAAAAAUUAGUAAUGAGAAGAAGAAGGGAAGGGAGAAGGCUACUGGUGAUGAAUGGGACACUGUAGAAGAACAGGUAACGGAGCGUAAGAAAAUGUCCGCAAACCUUCAGGCAGAACUCAUCAACACUGUAAAGAACCUGAGAAAGACAUCUACUGAACAAGAACCCAAGACGUCCUCACUAACACGGAAGGGAAGAGAAAGUGAAAAGCGACCAUCUAAGCCUAAGCCCACCACACAACCAUCCAGUAGCCCUGCAGUGGUAGUUGACCAAAAUGAGUCGCAGCGCAAAACCUUCUUCUUCGGGAUGGAACCAGAGAUGCCCCGAGAACCCCGCAGUGAGACCAAUACAGGUCUUCACAAAAUCAAAAACCAAGAAGAAGCGGCCAAGACCAGAAAUCGUGAGGAAGUUUUCAUCACUGGCCAGACUGUCGAAUACUCACGUCGAACUCUGGAACGUAAUGAGAAGAGCCGCAGCCGCAGUACCCGCAAAGAGAAUCAGAAGGUAACCGAACCUCAGCGCAAAACCGUUGAUGAAACUGACGGUCGUAAUGGUGGAGGUCACAGUGAUCAUCGCAAGUUGUCUCGGGACGUAGAAGAGUUUGCAGUCGCUAUUGAACGCCACAAGAUGAGUCGAGCCGACGGCGACAGAUCAGCAAGUGGGUCAUCUCGACGUGAGGAUGGAGGCUACCACUCUAGACAGAACUCCGGGAGUCUUUAUCUGGACAAUGAGAACGACGUGAGGGUUGAGGGUGAACUGUGCAUGAACUUAAGACCGACUCUACCACGUCGACAGUUUGAAAUUCCCAGAUUUAGUCCAAACGCUGCCUGGCGUUCCUUGAGCCUCGAGCGUGCUAGCAGACACCCAGAAGCUCUAGACGAGACACGCAGCAGUGAGGAGCCAGACUCAGUGUACGAGGCAAGAAUACAGCGGUUCACUCGGCCUACAGCUCCUCCCAGAGGCUCCGGUGAAAAGUCCGCCGACUCGGGCAUCUCAGGAGAUGCCGGCAGCCCUGGACCCACACACGAGUUUGAGCCUCUGAUGGCCACAGAGAAGACCAAAGGCUCUUCGGGACCACUGGCAGCGUCCUCACCUGUAGUUUCUGGUCUCCCUGAAGUCCGACGUGCUUGGACUCCUGCCCAAGACCUGGAUGACAAUAGUCUUGACAGCCACGGUGAACACCACACCGCCCUGCCCGAGGGACUCUCCACACCUCCCAAACUCACAUCACGCUCUAACAUGUUCCCGAAGUCACAGGAACUGACACCAGAAACUGAAGCCGAAUCCCCGACUGAAACAGAAACUGUUUCAGAACUCGUGUCUCCGGACAAGAAAGAUCGCUGGUCAAGGCGCAAGAAGCGAAAUCCUGCUGACAUCAUUCCUCAUAAGUUCAACAGUCUCCGUAAACUUAAACGGUCCGUCUCUGGUGCCAUCACUGGUCUGGGCCGCAAGAGUCCUGGUGCGGAAGAUUACCUUCAAAGCGGAACACUUGAUGAGCCUCAAACCCAACCUCAAGGAGACGACACCAACUGGCGCGACAACUGGUCCAUGUCUCGCUCCAUCCCUAACUCGCUCAACACGUGUGAAGAACAUGACACGGGCAGCAACCUCUCCAGUAACCGCAACACCAGAAGUAGAUCUGAGUCUCGUCUGGCAGUCGGAGGUGGUGACGCCUCACCGGAGGACUCGCGGCCUCGCACCCCGUCUUACCUCCAGCAUGGUAACUCUGGCCACAUAAUGUAUCUCCCAGAGUACAAUUCGCGGAGGAUGAGCCGUGGGGAGGCAGGUAGUGAGGAUGAGUCUGACCGACGUCACAGCAGCACUUCACAACACUACGACCGCCACCACAACCUCCGACACUCCGACAGGCCGAUGACGCCCGAUCACGAACGCAAACCUCCGUCAGGUGACGAGGACCCAGCACAGCCAGAGACUUACCAUGGGCCCACUUCCCUCCCUACCUCCCUCCCACACUCCCAUCCCGCCCUAGCCUCCUCCAAGAAGGCCAAGGGUAAGAAGUUUUCCUACCAGAGCACCGUCAGGGUUCUGGAGAAGAGAAAACUUGAGGAGAAGCUGACCAGGGAGGUCGCCGAGAAGGAGAAGCUGAGGCUGAAGGAGAUAGAAGCCAUGAAGAGGGUUGAAGAAGAAUUCCAGAGGAAGAGGGAGAGAGAGAAGAGGAAGGUGAAACAGGAGCUGAAGUUGCUCCAAAUGCAGCAGCAGCAGCAGCAGCAGCAGCAGCACACCAGCAGAGACACACACAACCACUCCUAUUCCAGUGACGACCACGCCCCCUCGUCCUACUCCUCAGAGCAGAACGAGGUGUCUAGCCAGGCCUCGUCCCAGCCACCGCCUCUACCUCGCUCCCCGGCCCCACAGCAGGUGUAUCCCUCCUUCACCUCCCUUCCUCCUGAGUUACCUUCAGACGCUUCCCCUGGUCUGCUCUCCGGACUCAAGAGUUGGGUGCGGAACAGGAAGGAAAGUCGGUCGUCCACCUCCUCCACUACCCUCACCUCCGCCCCGAGACAGGACCCUGACGGAGCUCCAGCUUCCUCCCCGAGGAAAAUCAGCGAUGACUACAGUGGUUCCAGCAGCAGUUCAUCGCGGAAAAGCAGCACUGACCACAGUGACCAGUUGAAACAAGGCUUCCGGGCUGAGAUUAUCGCUGCUUCUAGAAAGCGCAACGCGAAUAAUCCGGUCAUCGUCCACGAGAGUCCACCACCCAAGCACAACAACCAGAAAAGGUCUAUAUACAACCACCUGAACGAGGUUGUUGAACGUGAGGCGCAGCGGUCACAACGCCAGCAGAGUUACCAGCAAGAAAUGAAUUACUCACACCGCCAGAAACUCAGUAGUAAACACAUCCAGAAGGACAACCUACGCCGGUCUCAGUCCCCGGAUGUCCGUCGACUGAUGCAGGAACUACCGGAGCUGCAUCAGGAGCGGCGGGAGUACCGGGAGUACCGCAGUCCCUCACGCCACUCCCGUCACUCACACUCCCCGCCUGCCCGCACCACCAGCAGUCCCCCAGCUUCAAUAUCUCCCAACAAGAGCCUUAACAACUACCGACGUGACUUCUGCCACGGCAACGCCCAGGUGGCGGGCCCCACUGUGGUGUCUGUCAAGGUCAAGCGUAACGACGAGAGUGACCGCUAUUCCAAACACUCGAGUGAUGAUCGAAGGUCGGUGGGCAGCAGCGGCGUGCACCGCAGCGCCUCUGUCGACCUCCUGGAGACCGGGUCGUGUUCCUCCUCCUCCACAGCUCGGCACCACCAGUCCUCCCACCACCUCGCUGACGCCUCCCUCAGUCAUAACUAUGGCAGGAUGAACGGCUACCCACCUGUCGACAGCAGCCCAGCCCGGUUUGCUCACAGUAUCCUGACUCCUUUCAGCCCUGUUAAAGGAUAUAGACCUGUAUCCUUCAGUCCCCCUCCUCCAACUAAAAUAUUGCCCGUAAACUAGGUCUUGUAGAUAGGAAGACAAAGAUAUUAUUAUACAUACAACGAAUUUAGUUAAGGAUAUGCUCGAAUGAAUAGAAAAUUAAGCCCCACGUCUUACAUUAAAGAAAACGGUCUCAGCUAGAGUGAAUGUGAAGCAGUGACUAAAGAAAAAGUUUGGAUCACUGGCUGGUGUAGUUGUGUAAGGUUGUUAAGAGUUUAUUUCUUAAAUGAUAACUAAUGGAGUGAGAAGAAUGGAUUCAGUGUGCCAAAAUAUAUAAAAAGGAGAGUUUGUUAACACGAAUGAGGUGGUGGUUACUGUUUGUAGGAGUCCAAGAUGGCUGACAUAUAGUAUAGGGGGGAACGUUAAUGGUGCAGAAUGUUUAUAUACUCACACAGUAUUAGCUUUAUAACAGAACAUAAUAACCCUUAUGUUCUCCUCAUGUAAAGCUGAUUUUUGAAGGUUAUGAGCUUUAAUGUUUCCGUCCUGUGAGGGAAAGACAGAGGCAAUAGACUCUGUUAAAUAUGUGUGUGUGUGUGUGUGUGUGUGUGUGUGUGUGUGUGUGUGUGUGUGUGUGUGUGUGUGUGU
rnacentral:misc_RNA from 1 species